UACGAAGGGGGGCUAGCGUUGUUCGGAAUUACUGGGCGUAAAGCGCGCGUAGGCGGUGAUCUUUGUCAGAGGUGAAAGCCCGGGGCUCAACUCCGGAAUUGCCUUUGAAACGGGGAUUGCUAGAGUCCGAGAGAGGAUGGCGGAAUUCCUAGUGUAGAGGUGAAAUUCGUAGAUAUUAGGAAGAACACCGGUGGCGAAGGCGGCCAUCUGGCUCGGUACUGACGCUCAGGCGCGAAAGCGUGGGGAGCAAACAGG
rnacentral:rRNA from 1 species